UGCCACAACCUUAUCACCCUGCAGCCCAAGACUGGUUACACGCUGAAGCUAAGCAUGGCUGAGCCUGGUCAAUACCUGGAUGGGAGAUCACAUGGGAAAACUAGGUUGCUGUUAGAA
ensembl:rRNA 5S_rRNA 5S ribosomal RNA